AUGUUAAGAGUUCUCAGUGAAGGCUUUUCAUUUCUACCAUUCCCUCCCCUCCCCACCCCAUCCAUUAAUAUUAUUCUUUUGAAGAUUCUUCGUUGUCAAGCUGCCAAAGUGGAGAGUGCGAUUGCAGAAGGGGGUGCUUCUCCUUUCGGUGCUCCUUCGGGCGGAGGAGGAAGUAGGGGUGCAUCUCAGCACUAUCCCAAGACUGCUGGCCACAGCAAGUUCCUGGGGAAAAUUCCAGGGCAAAACGCUCAGAAAUGGAUUCCUGCAAGAAGCACUAGACGAGAUGACAACUCCGCAGCAAACAACUCUGCAAAUGAAAAAGAAAGACAUGAUGCAAUCUUCAGGAAAGUAAGAGGCAUACUAAAUAAGCUUAAUCCUGAAAAGUUUGACAAGCUAUGCCUUGAGCUCCUCAAUGUGGGUGUAGAGUCUAAACUCAUCCUUAAAGGGGUCAUACUGCUGAUUGUGGACAAAGNCCUAGAAGAGCCAAAGUAUAGCUCACUGUANGCUCAGCUAUGUCUGCGAUUGGCAGANGANGCACCAAACUUUGAUGGCCCAGCAGCAGAGGGUCAACCAGGACAGAAGCAAAGCACAACAUUCAGACGCCUCUUGAUUUCCAAAUUGCAAGAUGAAUUUGAAAACCGAACCAGAAAUGUUGAUGUCUAUGAUAAGCGUGAAAAUCCCCUCCUUCCUGAGGAGGAGGAGGAACAGAGAACCAUUGCUAAGAUCAAGAUGUUGGGGAACAUCAAGUUCAUUGGAGAACUUGGCAAGCUUGAUCUUAUUCAUGAAUCUAUCCUUCAUAAGUGCAUCAAAACACUUUUGGAAAAGAAGAAGAGAGUCCAACUCAAAGAUAUGGGAGAGGAUUUGGAGUGCCUCUGUCAGAUAAUGAGGACAGUGGGACCUCNAUUAGACCAUGAACGAGCCAAGUCCUUAAUGGAUCAGUACUUUGCCAGAAUGUGUUCCUUAAUGUUAAGUAAGGAAUUGCCAGCCAGGAUUCGUUUCCUACUGCAGGAUCAUUGGGUUCCUCGCAAGGCUUUUCUUGACAAUGGACCAAAGACGAUCAAUCAAAUCCGUCAAGAUGCAGCAAAAGAUCUAGGAGUGUUUAUUCCCGCUCCUAUGGCUCAAGGGAGGAAUGACUUCUUCCUGGAGGGACCGUUCAUGCCGCCAAGGAUGAAAAUGGAUAGGAACCCACCUGGGGGACUUGCUGAUAUAUUUGGACAAAUGCCAGGUAGUGGAAUUGGUACUGGUCCAGGAGUUAUCCAGGAUAGAUUUUCACCCACAAUGGGACGUCAUCGUUCAAGUCAGCUCUUCAGUGGCCAUGGGGGGCGGGCACAGCAUGCCUCCCACGCAAUCGCAGUUUGGAGAGAUGGGGGCAAGUUUAUGAAAAGCCAGAUUAGUUUGAGGCCUGCUCAGUCGUUUCUAAUGAAUAAAAAUCAGGUGCCAAAGCUUCAGCCCCAGAUAACUAUGAUUCCUCCCAGUGCACAGCCACCACGCACUCAAACACCGCCUCUGGGACACACACCUCAACUUGGUCUCAAAACUAAUCCACCACUUAUCCAGGAAAAGCCUGCCAAGAAGUUGGUGAGCAUUUCCGAACUAGCUCAACCACUGGAGCGUGGCACCCACUUCCCUCUCUUCCUACUUUGUCUUCAGCAAUUAGCUAAAUUACAAGACUGAGAGUGGUUAACCGAACUUUUUCAACAAAGCAAGGUCAAUAUGCAGAAAAUGCUGCCAGAAAUUGAUCAGAAUAAGGAUCAAAUGUUGGAGAUUUUGGAAGGAAAGGGACUGAGUUUCUUAUUCCCACUCCUUAAAUUAGAGAAGGAACUAUUGAAGCAAAUUAAGCUGGAUCCAUCCCCUCAAACUAUAUAUAAAUGGAUUAAAGAUAACAUCUCUCCCAAACUUCAUGUAGAUAAAGGAUUUGUGAACAUCUUAAUGACCAGCUUCUUACAGUACAUUUCUAGUGAAGUCAGCCCACCCAGCGAUGAGACAGAUUCUUCCUCUGCUCCUUCCAAAGAGCAGUUAGAGCAGGAAAAACAGCUGCUGCUCUCUUUUAAGCCAGUGAUGCAGAAAUUUCUUCAUGAUCAUGUGGNUCUACAGGUCAGUGCCCUGUAUGCUUUGCAGGUGCACUGUUACAACAGCAGCUUCCCAAAAGGCAUGUUACUUCGAUAUUUUUGUUCAUUUCUAUGACAUGGAAAUUAUUGAAGAGGAAGCUUUCUUAGCUUGGAAGGAAGACAUAACUCAAGAGUUUCCAGGAAAAGGCAAGGCUUUGUUCCAGGUGAAUCAGUGGCUAACCUGGCUAGAAACUNCUGAAGAAGAAGAAUCAGAGGAAGAAGCUGACUAAAGAACCAGCCAAGCCUUAA